rnacentral:rRNA from 1 species
UACGAAGGGGGGCUAGCGUUGUUCGGAUUUACUGGGCGUAAAGCGCGCGUAGGCGGGUCACUAAGUCAGGGGUGAAAUCCCGAGGCUUAACCUCGGAACUGCCUUUGAUACUGGUGACCUGGAGAUCGGGAGAGGUUGGUGGAAUUCCGAGUGUAGAGGUGAAAUUCGUAGAUAUUGGGAAGAACACCAAUUGCGAAGGCAGCUCGCUGGGACGUUACUGACGCUGAGACGCGAAAGCGUGGGGAGCAAACAGG